GCAGAGGGUAGUUUAAGUAGAAUAUCAGCUUUGGGUGCUGAUGGUGGGGCAGGAGCCUCUUCUCUGA
rnacentral:tRNA from 1 species